CCUACGGGAGACAGCAGUAGGGGAUAUUGGACAAUGGGGGGCACCCUGAUCCAGCGACGCCGCGUGCGUGAAGAAGUAUCUCGGUAUGUAAAGCCCUAUCAGCAGGGACGAAGCAAUGACGGUACCUGAGUAAGAAGCCCCGGCUAACGACUUGCCAGCAGCCGCGGUAAUACGUAGGGGGCAAGCGUUAUCCGGAAUUACUGGGUGUAAAGUGCUCGUAGUCGGUGAUGUAAUUCUGGAGUGAAAGGCGGGGGACCAACCCCCGGACUGCUCUUGAAACUAUGUGACUGGAGUGCAGGAGAGGCGAGCGGAAUUCGUAGUGUAGCGGUGAAAUGCGUAGAUAUUAGGAGGAACACCAGUGGCGAAGGCGGCUCACUGGACUGUAACUGACGUUGAGGCUCGAAAGCGUGGGGAGCAAACAGGAUUAGAUACCCCGGUAGUC
rnacentral:rRNA from 1 species